CUACCCCUGCUCUUUGACAAAUGUAGAUAUUGCAACUCUUUUUCUUUUUCUUUUUAAAUCAAUUUAUUCAACAGUCUCUCUUCUCUUGUUGUUUUGUAACUAUCAACACAUAUACAAUCCAGAAACAACUCAGAGUACCUUAUUUAUUUUCCUUUUACUAAUAGACUGCCGUUCCUAAACAGAUGGCUGAAGAGAAAACCCAGGCUCCAGGCUUUAGUGCUGAGUUUUACUGUAUGGACCCUGGGAUGUUUCUGAGCUGGUUUAUUUGAGAAACGAGGGAAGUCCCAGGGGUGGUUGUGCUGUGAGCAGUUCUGCUGGCUGUCCUCCUUCCCCUGCAGCCACAGCCAGGCAGCCAAAGCAUCAGCCUAUCAGAGAGCUUCAAUUUUCUGCUUAUUUAUCUCCAUGGUGUCCUGAGGACUUCUUAAAAGAAUGAGAUCUGACUAACUUGUCCAAAGUCACACAAGAAACUGGUGGCAGCGCAGAGGAUUGAUGAUUUGUCAGCAUGACAGGCCAAAAACCCACUUGGGCAAGAUUCAAACAAACAUCCAGGCCAGCAGCUUCAAGUGCUCUCAUUCACAAGCGAUCAGUCAGAAAUCUCUCUGCUGGGUUUGGUGGCACUGACAUCAAAG
rnacentral:lncRNA from 1 species